CUCGCCGGGCCUGCUCACUCUCGGACAUCGCCGCCGCCCCGCUCCUCUCGCCUCACCGCCUGUCCGGGCCGGCCGCGGAGCGGUGAGAGCGACGCGACACGACGCACAGCCACCAGGGACCCUGCGGCCACCUAAAAGCAAGGAUGUCUGCUGGCUUGGUGCAGUGGCUCUGGAGAAGCUGAUGGGGGAAGGCAAAAAGGAAAUCAAGGUAUAUAGCAGGAACUGUCCCUCUUGUGUGAGAGCUGCAGUCAGAGGGAUGGUGUGUGACUGACAGUGGGUCAUCUGAGCAUUUCUACACUGCAGAAGCGCAUUGUCUGCCUACAGCAGACUUUCACCAAUGGAGAGGAAAAUACUUCUAUAUGGAAGAAACUAGAACAUGUGGAGAAGACAAUGAACUUCUAACUUCCUGGAUCAUAUGAAAACACAUAAAAGAAUACAUUUAUAUGUACAUGCUCAGUUAUAUUUAUUUAGAAGACCUUAAGCUUUUUAUUAACAGCUUAGAUUACAACUUGCAUGUUUAUAUCUGAUUCUGAACACUUUAGACAAGAUAAUUCAAUUAACAAUUUUAAAA